rnacentral:rRNA from 1 species
GGACUACUGGGGUAUCUAAUCCCAUUUGCUCCCCUAGCUUUCGUUCCUCAGUGUCAGUUACAGCCCAGCAAGCCGCUUGCGCCACCGGUGUUCUUCCCAAUAUCUACGCAUUUCACCGCUACACUGGGAAUUCCGCUUGCCUCUACUGCACUCCAGUCCACCAGUAUCCAGUGCGAUCCCGAGGUUGAGCCCCGGUCUUUAACACCAGACUUAAUGAACCACCUACGAACUCUUUACGCCCAAUAAAUCCGGACAACGCUCGCAUCCUACGUCUUACCGCGGCUGCUGGCAC